AGCGUUAAAAUACCGGUUCCCAUACGACCACCGAAGUUAAGCAACGUCGAUCCUUGUCAGUACCUAGAUGGGUGACCGCUUGGGAAUACCAGGGGU